ACUCCCGGUCACCGCCCCGGGUCCAUGCACUUCAGAGGGAGGCUGCGGGCACUGGAAAGCGAGGCCGGUGGGCGGGCAAAUCAGGAGGCUCGGGCGGCCGAGGUCCCGGAGCCGAAUCAGGUGUCCGGAGCCGGUACUGGUGUCUGCAGCAGACAGGUGCCAACUGAGAAUGGAAGAGGGGACACUAUGAACUGCUCAGCUCAGCUCAGGGGCAGGGAACCACUGUGCAGGCCCAAGCGAACAAGAGCAGGGCUAGAUGGCCCUCAAGCUGGCACAUUAUGGAAAGGAUGAUGCAGAGGUGACAGAUCCCACAACGUCUCGGCUUGGUGACUCGGCCAUGGCAUCUGCAAGCCGUUCCCGGAGGCCCUCCUCUGAGUGCUCCAUGGAGGACAUAUGCCGCAGCCCGAAGCCCUCAGGCCAGCUCCCACACACCUCCAGCAGGGUCACGCUCCGGUCAAAGGCUGGCUCCCAAAGAAACUCCAUUCACCCGCCACACAACGUAGAAGAUGGUGUUCCACGAGUUAACGGAAUUGGACAGCCCAUCAUCAAGUGACACACAGCCAUUAUCCCAGGGCAACGCAUCACGGACAGGUCUGUGGGAUGUCGGUAAAAGCACAGCCCCCCUAGCCCCCAGCCCCAUGCUUUCAGUCACCCAGAAGCAUGAUUCGAGCAGGGCUCAUGCCUGUAGCUCCAGCACUCAGGAGGCUGAAGUAAGAGGGCUGCCAUGACUUCCUGGACAGCCUAGGCUACAGAACAAAGCCUGUCUAAGUAUAUUAUAUGCAUGUACUGCAAUGUCCUUCUAUAACCCAGUACCAUGUACAAUGAAGAUACUUCAAGGAAGGACAACUGUUAAUUGUGUGCAGUAUACUUGGUAGUGAUAAUGAGCAGCUGUUAUUAGUUUAUAUAUCAUUGCUACUUUAGAGAGCAUACUUCUAUUUAUUAAAAAGAAGUUGACUAUA
rnacentral:lncRNA from 1 species